rnacentral:misc_RNA from 1 species
UGGUAGGACUGAUGAAUGAGAACAAAGUUUCGGAGGCUGCCAAGCUUGUUGGCGAAUUGGGAAGUUUUAAGUUAAAGCCUGAUGUGUUUACAUAUGGUGCGUUGAUUAGAGGAUUUUGUAAAAUGAGUAAUUUGGAGGAGGCUAAAAAGUGGUAUAAAGAACUUGUGAAGAGCGGUUCUGUUCCAAACAAGGUGAUAUUCGUUAGUGUCAUUUCAUCUGCGUGCGAAAAGGGUGAUUUUGAUUGGGCUCUUGAGUUGUGCAAAGAGGUUUUUAAAAGAAAGUGUAAUGUUGAUGCAAAGUUGUUGCAAAGAGUGG